CCUACGGGAGGCAGCAGUGGGGAAUAUUGGACAAUGGGCGAAAGCCUGAUCCAGCCAUGCCGCGUGUGUGAAGAAGGCCUUCGGGUUGUAAAGCACUUUCAGUGGGGAAGAAAGCCUUGGGGCUAAUACCCUCGAGGAAGGACAUCACCCACAGAAGAAGCACCGGCUAACUCCGUGCCAGCAGCCGCGGUAAUACGGAGGGUGCGAGCGUUAAUCGGAAUUACUGGGCGUAAAGCGCGCGUAGGCGGUCUGAUAAGCCGGUUGUGAAAGCCCCGGGCUCAACCUGGGAACGGCAUCCGGAACUGUCAGGCUAGAGUGCAGGGGAGGAAGGUAGAAUUCCCGGUGUAGCGGUGAAAUGCGUAGAGAUCGGGAGGAAUACCAGUGGCGAAGGCGGCCUUCUGGACUGACACUGACGCUGAGGUGCGAAAGCGUGGGUAGCAAACAGGAUUAGAUACCCUGGUAGUC
rnacentral:rRNA from 1 species